rnacentral:rRNA from 1 species
UUGAACGCUGGCGGCAGGCCUAACACAUGCAAGUCGAGCGGUAGCACAGAGAGCUUGCUCUCGGGUGACGAGCGGCGGACGGGUGAGUAAUGUCUGGGAAACUGCCUGAUGGAGGGGGAUAACUACUGGAAACGGUAGCUAAUACCGCAUAAUGUCGCAAGACCAAAGUGGGGGACCUUCGGGCCUCAUGCCAUCAGAUGUGCCCAGAUGGGAUUAGCUAGUAGGUGGGGUAACGGCUCACCUAGGCGACGAUCCCUAGCUGGUCUGAGAGGAUGACCAGCCACACUGGAACUGAGACACGGUCCAGACUCCUACGGGAGGCAGCAGUGGGGAAUAUUGCACAAUGGGCGCAAGCCUGAUGCAGCCAUGCCGCGUGUGUGAAGAAGGCCUUCGGGUUGUAAAGCACUUUCAGCGGGGAGGAAGGCGUUAAGGUUAAUAACCUUGGCGAUUGACGUUACCCGCAGAAGAAGCACCGGCUAACUCCGUGCCAGCAGCCGCGGUAAUACGGAGGGUGCAAGCGUUAAUCGGAAUUACUGGGCGUAAAGCGCACGCAGGCGGUCUGUCAAGUCGGAUGUGAAAUCCCCGGGCUCAACCUGGGAACUGCAUUCGAAACUGGCAGGCUAGAGUCUUGUAGAGGGGGGUAGAAUUCCAGGUGUAGCGGUGAAAUGCGUAGAGAUCUGGAGGAAUACCGGUGGCGAAGGCGGCCCCCUGGACAAAGACUGACGCUCAGGUGCGAAAGCGUGGGGAGCAAACAGGAUUAGAUACCCUGGUAGUCCACGCCGUAAACGAUGUCGAUUUGGAGGUUGUGCCCUUGAGGCGUGGCUUCCGGAGCUAACGCGUUAAAUCGACCGCCUGGGGAGUACGGCCGCAAGGUUAAAACUCAAAUGAAUUGACGGGGGCCCGCACAAGCGGUGGAGCAUGUGGUUUAAUUCGAUGCAACGCGAAGAACCUUACCUGGUCUUGACAUCCACAGAACUUUCCAGAGAUGGAUUGGUGCCUUCGGGAACUGUGAGACAGGUGCUGCAUGGCUGUCGUCAGCUCGUGUUGUGAAAUGUUGGGUUAAGUCCCGCAACGAGCGCAACCCUUAUCCUUUGUUGCCAGCGGUUAGGCCGGGAACUCAAAGGAGACUGCCAGUGAUAAACUGGAGGAAGGUGGGGAUGACGUCAAGUCAUCAUGGCCCUUACGACCAGGGCUACACACGUGCUGCAAUGGCAUAUACAAAGAGAAGCGACCUCGCGAGAGCAAGCGGACCUCAUAAAGUAUGUCGUAGUCCGGAUUGGAGUCUGCAACUCGACUCCAUGAAGUCGGAAUCGCUAGUAAUCGUAGAUCAGAAUGCUACGGUGAAUACGUUCCCGGGCCUUGUACACACCGCCCGUCACACCAUGGGAGUGGGUUGCAAAAGAAGUAGGUAGCUUAACCUUCGGGAGGGCGCUUACCACUUUGUGAUUCAUGACUGGGGUG